GGAACGAGAGAAGGCUUGGGUAAACUCUUUCAAGGAAGAAGAUAUGCGGUACGAGGAAUAAGCCACGUAAUCCGUGCCAGCAGCCGCGGUAAUACGGGAGUGGCAAGCGUUAUCCGGAAUUAUUGGGCGUAAAGCGUCCGCAGGCGGCCUUUCAAGUCUGCUGUUAAAGCGUGGAGCUUAACUCCAUUAUGGCAGUGGAAACUGAUCGGCUUGAGUAUGGUAGGGGCAGAGGGAAUUCCCGGUGUAGCGGUGAAAUGCGUAGAUAUCGGGAAGAACACCAGUGGCGAAGGCGCUCUGCUGGGCCAUUACAGACGCUCAUGGACGAAAGCCAGGGGAGCGAAAGGGAUUAGAUACCCCGGUAGUCCUGGCCGU
rnacentral:rRNA from 1 species